AGCUCCAAUAGCGUAUAUUACAAUAGUUGCGGAUAAAAAGCUCGUAGUUAGAUUUCUGUUGAGGACGACUGGUCCGCCCUCUGGGUGAGCAUCUGGUACGGCCUGGGCAUCUUCUUGGAGAACGUAACUGCACUUGACUGUGUGGAGCGGUAUCCAGGACUUUUACUAAAGAAACAAAAAUGUUUCGAGCAGGCACACGCCUUGAAUACAUUAGUGUGGAAUAAUAAGAUGGGACCUCGGUUCUAUUUUGUUGGUUUCUAGAAUUGAGGUAAUGAUUAAUAGGGAUAAUUGGGGGCAUUCGUAUUUAACUGUCAGAGGUGAUAUUCUUGUUUUUUUUUUAAGACGGACUACUGCGAAGGCAUUUGCCAAGGAUGUUUUCA
rnacentral:rRNA from 1 species